rnacentral:rRNA from 1 species
CAGUCGCCGCGGGAAUACGAACCGUGCGAACGUUAUUCGGAAUCACUGGGCUUAAAGCGCGUGUAGGCGGGCCGCCACGUCGGCUGCUGAAAUCCCCCGGCUCAACCGGGGAAGUGGCACCGAUACGAGCGGCCUGGAGGGGGGUAGGGGGGACUGGAACUUCCGGUGGAGCGGUGAAAUGCGUUGAGAUCGGAAGGAACGCCCGUGGCGAAAGCGAGUCCCUGGACCCUUACUGACGCUGAGACGCGAAAGCCAGGGGAGCGAACGGGAUUAGAUACCCCCGUAGUCCCUGUCUCUUAUA